rnacentral:rRNA from 1 species
CCCUUAGAUGUUCUGGGCCGCACGCGCGCUACACUGACGAUGGCAACGGGUUUUUCCUUCGCCGAAAGGUGUGGGUAAUCUUUUGAAACAUCGUCGUGCUGGGGAUAGAUCAUUGCAAUUUUUGAUCUUGAACGAGGAAUUCCUAGUAAGCGCGAGUCAUCAGCUCGCGUUGAUUACGUCCCUGCCCUUUGUACACACCGCCCGUCGCUACUACCGAUUGAAUGGUUUAGUGAGGACUCCUGAUUGGCGCCGCCGCCCCGGCAACGGAGCAGCGGACUGCCGAAAAGUUGUUCAAACUUGAUCAUUUAGAGGAAGUAAAAGUCGUAACA